rnacentral:rRNA from 1 species
UGAACGCUGGCGGCGUGCCUAACACAUGCAAGUCGAACGAACCUUCGGGUUAGUGGCGGACGGGUGAGUAACGCGUGAGAAUCUGCCCUCAGGAGGGGGAUAACGGCUGGAAACGGCCGCUAAUACCCCAUAUGCCGAGAGGUGAAAUGAAUUUCGCCUGAGGAUGAGCUCGCGUCUGAUUAGCUAGUUGGCGGGGUAACGGCCCACCAAGUCUACGAUCAAUAGCUGAUGUGAGAGCAUGAUCAGCCACACGGGCACUGAGACACGGGCCCGACUCCUACGGGAGGCAGCAGUAAGGAAUAUUGGGCAAUGGACGCAAGUCUGACCCAGCCAUGCCGCGUGAAGGAUGAAGGUCCUCUGGAUUGUAAACUUCUUUUAUCUGGGGCGAAAAACACCUUUUCUAAGGUGCUUGACAGUACCAGAGGAAUAAGCACCGGCUAACUAUGUGCCAGCAGCCGCGGUAAUUUGAUGGCGCGAGG